rnacentral:rRNA from 1 species
ACGGGGUGCAGCAGGCGCGAAAUCUUCACAAUGUGCGAAAGCACGAUGAGGGGAUCCCAAGUGUUGGUUCGUAAGAAUCAUCUGUUUCUUUGUCUAAAAAACAGAGAGAGUAAGAGCUGGGUAAGACGGGUGCCAGCCGCCGCGGUAAUACCUGCAGCUCAAGUGGUGGCCGCUAUUAUUGGGCCUAAAACGUCCGUAGCCGGUUUAGUAAAUGCUUGGGUAAAUUGUGUAGCUCAACUAUACGAAUACCGAGUAGACUGCUGAACUUGGGACCGGGAGAGGCUAGAGGUACUCCUAGGGUAGAGGUGAAAUUCUGUAAUCCUAGGGGGACCACCAGUGGCGAAGGCGUCUAGCUAGAACGGGUCUGACGGUGAGGGACGAAGCCCUGGGGCGCAAACCGGAUUAGAUACCCGGGUAGUCCAGGGUGUAAACGCUGCUCGCUUGAUGUUAGUUGGGCUCCGAGCCCAACUAGUGUCGGAGAGAAGUUGUUAAGCGAGCUGCCUGGGAAGUACGGUCGCAAGGCUGAAACUUAAAGGAAUUGGCGGGGGAGCACAGCAACGGGUGGAGCGUGCGGUUUAAUUGGAUUCAACGCCGGAAAUCUCACCGGAGGCGACGGUUAUAUGAAGGCCAGGCUGAUGACCUUGCCUGAUUUUCCGAGAAGUGGUGCAUGGCCGUCGUCAGUUCGUACCGUGAGGCGUUCUGUUAAGUCAGACAACGAACGAGACCCUCAUCUUUAGUUGCUACUG